GACUAAGCCAAGGGUUAACAUAAUGUGUGUUGUCUCUUCAUGUGCAGGCCUACUCUCUGGGGGCCUCCCAGUCAACACAUUCAUCCUUGGGCUAUCCUCUACUCUCUUCACUGCCCUACUCAAACUCUGGGCCUUGUGGCAUUGGGCCAGCCUGUGAGGUGGUGGUCUUUGUGUGAUUGUCUAGGCAGAAAGCCAGAGGCAGGACGAGCCUGCAGUGGAGUUGUUGUGGGUGAGUUAGUGACCGUGCCAGGCUAUUCCCGGGGACCGCAGAGUGCCGAGUAGAUAGCAGAUGAGCCGCUCUGCUCUUUCCUCGAUACAGACACUGGUAGAUGACAGCCUCAGCAACGGACACAGGAACAGUAUCUCCCCUGUCCUCCCAUCUAUUGUCCCCAGAGGGAGUAAUUGUGUUCUGGCUGAUGGUAAAGGCCAUCCAGACCAUCUCCUUCCUCAACUUGUUCUUCCCACUGGUGGUACCCCUGUCCUCCUGGCAGUGUGAGAUCCAUGUCUGGGCCCUUCAGAUGAACAUGAUGGUGUAUGUGGGGGGCAUUGUACGACUAGGACACAAUGACACAACAUAUUUAUUCGGUACAUUUAAUUCCCUUUAGUAUAAAAACAAUAUGCAGCAUUCAUUUUGAUUGUUGCUAUAGUUUUCAGGAGUGUAUGUCCAUUGUCUAUGAUUCAGUUUAUUUUGAGAGCAAAUGCACUCCACUGGUGAUCUAGUUUGCUAUGAUGUCAGCAGAAAUGUGAUGAUGACACAGAAUGAAGUGAUGAAAUCGUGAGUUUGUUGUCUCUGGCAGCCCCUGAGGUACUGGCUCAGAAAUCCUACAGCAAUCCUGUCAAGUUCAGUAUGCAUUACAUUAUAUUGCCAGUAUUACUCAUCCUUGUCAGUGAUUUCGUAUUAUUGGAAAUGGUCCCUGGGAUUGGUGUUGCUUUGAGCGUGUGCAAAACUGUCAGUGUGUAUGGGAGAAGCCAUAAUACAGUGACUGGCCAAGGAAUAAUCACUGACAGUGUCACUGUGUGAGAUGAUUACUUAAGAGAGCACAAGAAAUCAUGGUGAGAACUUAGAGUACAUCUGCUUUUUUCCCUCAUCUGUAUUUCUGUAGAUUUUUUCAUGGUUAUUAUCCCUCCCCCUUGACAACAUAUAGAGGAAUGGUUCACUAACGUUACCUGCAUGAUCAGAGGACAGGCAGACAUUUCCUCGUGCAUGUUAAUUGGCCACAGGAUGUGUGCGAAUACAAAACCACAUUUAUAAGUGGAGAUAUGUCACUCUUGCUCUCACCAUAAGGUCACGUUAAAUUGAUACUUUUGGUGAACUAUUUGCACAUACAGUAUUUAAAGUGGGAUUUGAUGUUAUUCAGUCAAGACUACGAAUGAUUUUAUUUGCGCCCCCUUGUUUUCCCCAAUACUGUUUAAAUGUCUGUCACUUUUAAGAACGAGCCUGUCAUGUUUUGUCAUUGAUUAUCAUGUCUUGUCCCUGUGCUUCCCCUUCUAUUCGUUUCCCUCUGCUGCUCUUAAUAGGUUCUUUCCCUCUUUCUAUCCCUCUCUCUCCC